CCUACGGGAGGCAGCAGUGGGGAAUAUUGCACAAUGGGGGAAACCCUGAUGCAGCGACGCCGCGUGAGUGAAGAAGUAAUUCGUUAUGUAAAGCUCUAUCAGCAGGGAAGAAAAUGACGGUACCUGAGUAAGAAGCCCCGUCUAACUACGUGCCAGCAGCCGCGGUAAUACGUAAGGGGCAAGCGUUAUCCGGAUUUACUGGGUGUAAAGGGAGCGUAGACGGCAGUGCAAGUCUGGAGGGAAAGGCGGGGGCUCAACCCCCGGACUGCACUGGAAACUGGACGGCUGGAGUGCAGGAGAGGUAAGUGGAAUGCCUAGUGUAGCGGUGAAAUGCGUAGAUAUUAGGAGGAACACCAGUGGCGAAGGCG
rnacentral:rRNA from 1 species